rnacentral:rRNA from 1 species
GAUGAACGCUGGCGGCGUGCCUAAUACAUGCAAGUCGAGCGAACAGACGAGGAGCUUGCUCCUCUGACGUUAGCGGCGGACGGGUGAGUAACACGUGGAUAACCUACCUAUAAGACUGGGAUAACUUCGGGAAACCGGAGCUAAUACCGGAUAAUAUAUUGAACCGCAUGGUUCAAUAGUGAAAGACGGUUUUGCUGUCACUUAUAGAUGGAUCCGCGCCGCAUUAGCUAGUUGGUAAGGUAACGGCUUACCAAGGCAACGAUGCGUAGCCGACCUGGGAGGGUGGUCGGCCACACUGGAACUGAGACACGGUCCAGACUCCUACGGGAGGCAGCAGUAGGGAAUCUUCAGCAAUGGGCGAAAGCCUGACGGAGCAACGCCGCGUGAGUGAUGAAGGUCUUCGGAUCGUAAAACUCUGUUAUUAGGGAAGAACAAAUGUGUAAGUAACUAUGCACGUCUUGACGGUACCUAAUCAGAAAGCCACGGCUAACUACGUG